CAGUUCUUAAUGCAAAGAAGCAGGCAAACAGCACUCAAAUGUGAACAAAAUGCAUACCAGUAUGAAUGAGGAGGCAUGGUCUAUGUACCAAAGAGUUUACAAUCUAAUUUCCAACAGGAUGAUGAAAUGAUAGGGAGAAGUAGUGGGCAGUAGGACACAGAUUACAGCAACUGCAUGGAUACAGCAAAGUCUAGGGCACAGCAAGGAUGGAGGUGUAAGAUGACACAGGCCUAGUCUGAUGAAGCUGCUGGUGCCAGGUGAAGAAAAGGCCCCUUCUCUAACUAAGGUGGUGGUGUAUGCAUUUGUUGUUCAUAAAAGCGAAGGAAUAGCAUCAGCAAACAUCCUAUUGAAUUCCAGUCCCAUUGCCACUCAAAUCCUUGGUAUCUAUUAAGAAGACAUUCCUGCCAGUUGUGUCAAUGCAGUUAAUGAUCUUUUGAUGUCAUGAGUGUGAAAUCAUCAAACUCAUUUUUCCUUUACACCAAAUUCAGGAUUUGAACUCAGAUUUCUAAAGGUGAAAGGCUAGUGUCCUAACCUACUAUGGCACUGAACUUCCAUAGUUAAUUGUUUAAAUGAGUGUUGAGUGGCAAAUAUAAGUCAAUUACUAAUUUAAGAAAAUCUCUCAUUGGUCUUUAUGCAAAAUCCAGUUAGCAUGAAUGAGAAUUUUAAGUGCUGAAACAGGAGGAAUAAAUGGCAUUUAGAUAUUUUCAUUCAAUUAUUUACCUCCUUUUGAUGUGUCUUAUGCUCAUGGAACUUUAACUACAUUUGUGCCUUUCACUUAAAUUCAUACCCUCUGCGUUUGUGCAGAGAUUGAAAAUAGGGACCUUCACCCGUUCUGCUACCUCAUGGUCACUCUUCUUGUUGCUUAUUACAUAGAUGCUAAAGAGUAGGAGGGACGAUAGUAUGGCAAUCUUGGUCAAAGAAUUAAAAAGAAAAGAAAAGCUAUGCUGUAGAGACUGAUACAAUUAAACACCUACUAUAAUACUGUAUGGUGCAGCAUGUAAUUUUGAUAAGAUUUAUUUUGUAACUUAAUAAGAGGUUUUUCUAUUAUACCUAAUUCAUCUUCACCAAAUCCCCAAACGUGUCCUGAAAAGAAGCCUCUACAUGAGCCACUGUUGCCAAGACAUAGAGGUUUCUCUUGCCACUGUUUGGUCACAGGACUCUGUUGCAGCGUUAAAAAAUUUCUGUAAUCAAACACAUACAAUGCAAACUGUUAUAUAGCAUUUGAAAAGAGAACUUAAAAUGUCCAGAUAAUAAAAAGGAGUUGCAGUAGGACACGUCUAUAAAAUUAAUCACAAUAUAGUUUCCCAGCAGGCAUUGUACAAACACAAAAAAGCAUAACAUUCAUCCUUCUGCCAUCCUUACUCCGGUUGCUUAGUAUCUAUGUGUGGCAGAAUUGAGCCCAAAGUAUUGUAAAUAUAUAUAUAUCCUGAAAAUACUUCUCUUGCACAUGGAUAUUAAGCAUUUCUCUUGCUUGGUGUGACAGGACUGCACCCGUUCAUCCAGAAAGCAUUACUUUUUCUCUAUCAUUGAUGUUUCCAUGAGACCAAGAUUCAAAGCUGCACUGUUAUUCAGUUAGACCCCGAUUUUGUAAAUACACACAUGGAUUAAAUGCUUGAUCCAUUGAAGUCAAUGGGACUACUCGUGUACUUAAAGUUAAGCAUGGGCAUAGGUGUUUGGAGGAUCGGGGUGGAUUAGGGGUCCCUGAGGAGCAUUUGGGAUCAAUAUCUCCAUUUCAACCUCCUCUAGAGAUCAAGUAUGUUACCUCUGCUGCUAUUCAUUAGAAUGCCAUGACUCAGAAAGUAGUGGUCCCUAUCUUGUUUCCAAACCUGGGGAUUUCUCUAUGGCAUUGCCGCACUGCAAGGUUGGCAGAACUACUUUAAUAUGCAAACAUGCAAAAUAUUAUUGUUGCUUUAUAUGUAUCAUAAGUAAAUAUAUUGAUUUUAAGAACCUACCCAUUGUGGUCUCCAAACACAUAACUUCCAUAAAGUCUCUCAGAUUGGCAACCUCGGUAUACAAAUCCACCAACCAAUGGUCCACUACUGAAUGGUUUGAAUUCUAGAAGUGAAGGCUCGCUCUCUAAAAAGGAACUACCACAGCAUUAGAUCAAAUACAAUUUCAUAUAUUAAAAACAAUUAUGCAAAUACUAUAUGAAGAAAAGUUAUUGCCAUUCAAAUUGCACCAAUGUUGAGAUGUACAUGAUAUAUAAGACAGGAAACCAGAGUAUAAGAGAAACCAGAAAACACCAUCAUAAACAUAGAGGGACAUAGCCUAACCUAAGGCUGAGAGAAGAAUAGAGCCAAAGGGGGUCAUAUCCUAACUAUCCUAUUGAAGUUGAUGGGAGUCUUGCUGUUGACUUUUGUGACUGGAAUUUCACCCAGAGAAUGGAUCUGUUAUGCUUCAGCAUUAUAAAUAAUAAAGGGUGUGGCUUAGGGAUUUAGGAGUACAAGUCCCAUUGACUUUCAGCGGGUCUUGUGCUUUUGAAAACCUUGCCCAAAGCUACCUUCUUUUAAGGUCAGUUUCUUAAUGCAAUAAGCCUGUACUGUUCAGGAUCAUGCAUCAGUAUUGCUGGCUGUAGUUUCUUAUUUAGGCUGAGGCCAUUAUACUGCUGUUAGGGUUGACAACAGUAACAUGCAUUUUUUGUCUUGCAGAACUGCACUGUUAAA